UACGGAGGGUGCAAGCGUUAUCCGGAUUCACUGGGUUUAAAGGGUGCGUAGGUGGGUUGGUAAGUCAGUGGUGAAAUCUCCGAGCUUAACUUGGAAACUGCAUUCGAUACUGCCGUGCUUGAGGACUGGAGAGGAGACUGGAAUUUACGGUGUAGCGGUGAAAUGCGUAGAUAUCGUAAGGAAGACCAGUGGCGAAGGCGGGUCUCUGGACAGUUCCUGACGCUGAGGCACGAAGGUCAGGGGAGCAAACGGG
rnacentral:rRNA from 1 species